GACGAACGCUGGCGGCGUGCUUAACACAUGCAAGUCGAACGGACGGACCAUGAGUUUGUGUCGUGGUUGUUAGGGGAGCGCGUGAGUAUAACGUGUGUAACGUCUCCUUGUAAUAGGGGUAUAUUUAGGGGACUGGGGCUCAUAACGGGUAGGAGCUCCUGAAGCAUGGUGGGGAAUGGUAAGUGUCGGUGGUUGGGGCUGGUCUCGAUGCUUAUGAGCUUGUUGGGCGGGUAGUGGAUUACCAGGGCUUUGACGGGUAGGCGGCAUGUGAGGGGGACCGGCCACAAUGGGACUGAGGUACGGCGCAGACUCCUACGGGAGGCAGUAGUCGGGAAUAUUGCACAAUGGGCGCAAGCCAGAGGCAGCGACGCCGCGAGCGGGAUGAUGGCUUUCGGGUUGUAAACCUCUGUCGACUGAGACGAAGCGUGAGUGACGGUAACUAGUAAAGAAGCAACGGCUAACUACGUG
rnacentral:rRNA from 1 species